GACACGGGGAAGAGGCACAUGUGGGGAUUCCCAGUGGACAGCAGCACGAGAGACUUCAAGGAAGGCCUCCAAACUGGAUGAAGAGGAGAUGGAGGUCGCUGUGUGUCGACAUGGAUUGUGUCUUUUGUGUCACUUUCACUUCAGGGACGGCAAACUGUGGCGUGUUUCAGGAACGGUUACAUGCCCGACAACUACACUUCUGAACAGAGCUGGGAUGCUCGUCUCCUCAUGGAGCGCUCUCGAGCUGUGAAGUGUCCAGAUAUCAGCGCUCACCUGGCUGGUACCAAGAAGGUUCAGCAAGUGCUCCCCAGGGGAUCCAGCGGAGGAUCACAGUGACCCUCAUCCACGAGAAGGGCAGCGAGCUCCAUUGGAAAGAUGUUCGUGAGCUGGUUGUAGGUGAGCAGCCUGCCUUUAGGGUCUAG